rnacentral:circRNA from 1 species
CCCACACAUCAUGUUCCUCUCUCAGAGCAUCUUGACAGGAGGGAACCAUCUCUGUGGGACCCGCCUCUGCCAUGAAAUUGCCCAUGCCUGGUUUGGCCUAGCCAUCGGGGCCCGAGACUGGACGGAGGAGUGGCUGAGUGAAGGCUUCGCCACUCACUUGGAGGAUGUGUUUUGGGCCACAGCACAGCAGCUGGCCCCCUAUGAGGCCCGGGAGCAGCAGGAGCUGAGGGCUUGUCUGCGCUGGCGUCGCCUCCAGGACGAGAUGCAAUGCUCCCCCGAGGAGAUGCAGGUGUUAAGACCCAGUAAAGACAAAACUGGCCACACAAGUGACUCGGGAGCAUCUGUUAUCAAGCAUGGACUUAAUCCGGAGAAGAUCUUCAUGCAGGUGCAUUAUUUAAAGGGCUACUUCCUUCUUCGGUUUCUUGCCAAAAGACUUGGAGAUGAAACCUAUUUUUCAUUUUUAAGAAAAUUUGUGCACACAUUUCAUGGACAGCUGAUUCUUUCCCAG